rnacentral:rRNA from 1 species
UACGGGGGGAGCAAGCGUUGUUCGGAUUUACUGGGCGUAAAGGGCGCGUAGGCGGCCACCGCAAGUCGACUGUGAAAUCUCCGGGCUUAACCCGGAAAGGUCAGCCGAUACUGCGGGGCUAGAGUGCAGAAGGGGCAACUGGAAUUCUCGGUGUAGCGGUGAAAUGCGUAGAUAUCGAGAGGAACACCUGCGGCGAAGGCAGGUCUCUGGGCAUUAACUGACGCUGAGGAGCGAAAGCAUGGGGAGCGAACAGG